ensembl:ncRNA F40F4.9 ncRNA
UAUGGUUUUCAAUUUUGAAAACACCUAUAGGCGUGAAAGACAUGUUUUCUGCCCUUCCCGACAUGUUCAUAUUUCACAGACUAUCCGAAACCCAAUUGAAACAUAUUCGCUUUACCAAAUUACACACACACGCACACAU